CGAAGGGGCGAACUUCAGGCCUUCCAGAAUCCCUCUGAUUUCAGCAAGCAAAGAUGUUAAAGGAUGGGCAAUGUUCAUUAAUUUUGCGGCCACCAAAUCCCCAUCCAACUUGCGAAGAACAAAUCCAAGUCCUGAAGAAAUGCGAUAACAUGAAGCAUCAGUAUUAAGCUUCUAGUGAUUGUCUGGUGGAGGCGUCUAACAUUGGGAAAUUCGAAGAAAUUGACGAGUCACCUUAGGAAGAGAAAUAGGUUUCCCAUGAAUCACAUUGUUUCGGUCGCUCCAAAUAGCCCAACAGCGUAUAGAGGCAGAAAGGGGAAGAGCAGAUCCUAUAUCUUUUGAGCUCAUUUGCAAAGAAAAAUGGCGUGGAACGUACGCUCCAGCCUAGAGGAACAUAACAA